AACUGAUACUACCUGCGGGAACCUGCGGAGGGAUCAUUACUGGUAAUUUUUCUAGUUUGAAAGAAAUUUUUUUUUUCGGCUAGGGAAAUAUCUUAUCCUGUGCAAUGAACUUGUCGCCUGGGGUUUGAAUAUAGUCUUUGAGUUGGGUAAAACCAUUUCAUUGCUGACCCCAAUAGGCAUCCUUUCAAUACUUUACGUAUUAAACUACUAUUUUUUUGCAUUAACUGAAUCUUAUAUCUU
rnacentral:misc_RNA from 1 species